rnacentral:rRNA from 1 species
UAUCUCUGUAGAGUCUGCAUAUCAAUAAGCGGAGGAAAAGAAACUAACAAGGAUUCCCUUAGUAACGGCGAGUGAAGCGGGAAGAGCUCAAAUUUGAAAUCUUCAAGGUUCUACCUUGACGAAUUGUAGUUUAAAGAAGUGUUUUCUGUUAGGAUGAGUAGCAAAAGUUCCUUGGAAUAGGGACAUCAUAGAGGGUGAGAAUCCCGUAUUUGGAUUAUUCAUUCUAGCGUUGUGAUACACUUUCAAAGAGUCGGAUUGUUUGGGAAUGCAGUCCAAAAUGGGUGGUAAAUUUCAUCUAAAGCUAAAUAUUGGCGAGAGACCGAUAGCGAACAAGUACCGUGAGGGAAAGAUGAAAAGAACUUUGAAAAGAGAGUUAAACAGUACGUGAAAUUGUCAAAAGGGAAGCGUUUGACACCAGUGUUGUUUUUCUCGAAAAUCAAUUACAAAUGGCUUGAUUUUGUGUUGUAUUGACCUUAUCAAGCUUUCUUCACUUUUUUCGAGUCUUUCUUAAUGCACUUUUCGGUUAACAAGUCAACAUCAAUUUCUUUUGUUGUAAAAGAGUAUUCGGAAGGUGGCUUUCUUUUCGGAGAAAGUGUUUAUAGCCCUAUACUUCUACAAUCGGAGAGAUUGAGGUCUGCAGCGUAGAUCCUUCGGGGUUAGAUACACUUGUGCUAAGUUGUAGCUUUUCAUAGACAACUUGUUGACUAUGUUUAGUCAUGCGGCUUACUCGCUUGUGCUAUUUUACCUACGCUUAGGAUGUUGACGAGACUGUCGAUCUC